AGCUUUAAUUUCAGGCAAUGUCUUCCUGAUUGGUGGUAGAGCUUGCUAUUGGAGAGAGAUCACAAGCAGGCAGAUAGGCAGACAGAAUGAGAGAGGGGGAAGCAGACUCCCCGCUUAGUAGAGAGCCCCACUCUGGGCUCGAUCCCAGGACCCUGAGAUCAUGACUCGAGCCGAAGGCCGAGGCUUAACCCACUGAGCCACCCAGGUGCCCUGAUUUUUAGAAUUUAUUUAUUUGAGAGAUAGAGACAGAGAAGGACAAGGAACAGAGGGAGAGGAAUAAGCAGAUUCAGUGUUAAGCAUGGAGCCCAAACAAGGGGCUUGAUCCCACAACACUGAGAUCAUGACCUGAGCUGAAAUCAACAGUUGGAUGCUUAACUGACUGAGUGACCCAGCUAUAAAUUGUGCUUAGCAAUGGAGUUGAUUUUCAUUCUGGUACAAGCUCCUUUAUCCUAUCAUGGUGCAGCAACAGAUUAUCAGUUUAGUACCAGUGCAUGGAUCAUAUUUUGGAUAUCUGUCCUGGAAUCACCAGUAAACUGAGAUGGCUAUGCAGAAAACCUUCAAAUAACCAUGUAUUUGAAACUUCAAAAUGAACAGGAUGAAGUCUUAAUAAGAAA